GAGACAGGGAUACUGGAGUGAUGGAGGUAGAUAUGUAUAGGGGGAAGGAGACAGGGAUACUGGAGUGAUGGAGGUAGAUAUGUAUAGGGGGAAGGAGACAGGGAUACUGGAGUGAUGGAGGUAGAUAUGUAUAGGGGGAAGGAGACAGGGAUACUGGAGUGAUGGAGGUAGAUAUGUAUAGGGGGAAGGGAACAGGGAUACUGGAGUGAUGGAGGUAGAUAUGUAUAGGGGGAAGGGGACAGGGAUACUGGAGUGAUGGAGGUAGAUAUGUAUAGGGGACAGGGAUACUGGAGUGAUGGAGGUAGAUAUGUAUAGGGGACAGGGAUACUGGAGUGAUGGAGGUAGAUAUGUAUAGGGGACAGGGAUACUGGAGUGAUGGAGGUAGAUAUGUAUAGGGGUAAGGGGACAGGGAUACUGGAGUGAUGGAGGUAGAUAUGUAUAGGGGGAAGGGGACAGGGAUACUGGAGUGAUGGAGGUAGAUAUGUAUAGGGGACAGGGAUACUGGAGUGAUGGAGGUAGAUAUGUAUAAGGGACAGGGAUACUGGAGUGAUGGAGGUAGAUAUGUAUAGGGGACAGGGAUACUGGAGUGAUGGAGGUAGAUAUGUAUAGGGGGAAGGAGACAGGGAUACUGGAG
rnacentral:lncRNA from 1 species